CAAAAUAUAGCUUGUUAGAAAAGCGCUUCACUUACGUUGAAGAGAGUUAUCGUGCAAAUCGAUUUAUUUUGA
rnacentral:tRNA from 1 species